UUCUUUGUUUUUGCUAUGCUUUCUGGUUUCUGUUGUUCUUUGUUUUUUUUUCCUGUUUUACAGGUGGUGGUGGCAAGGCCAAUGGCGCUAGAGAUCCAUGCAUUUACCAUUUUGGUGUAAUGGUGGCAGAGGAGGUGUCAGGCCUCGGGCGGUGGCCCUAUCGACGUGGCAUGAGGAGCAGCUUUAAAGGGUUUAGGGUUUUGCUAUUAGUUUUAGAUAGUGGGCCAUUAGGCUUUAGAUUUUUGGGCUUUUGGGGUUUUUUUGUAUUUUUAAAUGGACUUUUAAUGGACUAUUUAUUUAUUUUUAUUUAUUUGUUUAUUAUUUGGUUGGGCCGGACGAAAUUGGGCUACUACAGCUGCCCCUCUUUGCUCAUUGUCAUGUAAGGGGAAUGGAGAAAAGACUUAAAAGGUGGACCAAUUUUG
rnacentral:lncRNA from 1 species